rnacentral:lncRNA from 1 species
ACUGAAGUGAAAACUGCACUUUCCAUGAUUCUGCAACGCUAUACUUUCACCGUCUCCCCUACCUAUGUUCACGCACCUGCACCACGUCUUUCACUCAAGCCACAACAUGGGAUUCAGUUGUUGUUUCAUUCACUACAUUAUGAUGCUUAAAAUUCUAGGCUGUUGGUCUCCAAUAUUGUAAUAUAUAAUAAAAUGUGGAUGAUACUGUAUUUUGCAACCAUACGAUGAUAUAUGGUUUGGGGAUUUCAUGUUUUGGCAACAAGAUUAUAUGCUUUUUGUUGUUGUUGAUAUUGUUAAAGGUUAAAAAGGUAUUACAGCAAACAUCGCCACCGCAGGAGCAGGCCCUACGGUCCACCAAAGAGAAAUCAAUUCAAACUACCCCAAAAAGCUGGAACGGCAGCAGCAAAUCGAGUCAGCUCCCUGAACAUCAUACAGCAACACAGAAAGAAGAACAUCACAACCCAGUCAUAUACACGCCAUGAAGACAUUGGACUCCACAUUUUGCUAAAGUAUCAGCAAAGCAGCUAGAUUCUUUAUACACAUUCACAAUGGAGACAUUAUGGGAUCUCAUCACAGAGCUUAGAAUAUGACCCAUCCAGCAUUUGAGAAACAGUGAAGAUGUCAAGUCCAGGAGCUCCAAACAAUGCCUUGGCCGCUGGAUCCUAUAAUUAGGUGUCUUUCUUCCAUUACUACUGCAGUAGUGAAGUUUUUAUUCCACUUGGUUCCCAUCUUCCAGAGUUUCUGCUUGAAACACUCACUCCUGGAGCCGGCCAUUACAUUGCUUGUUAGCUUUCAUGGAAGGCUCGAAGCUCAUUAGACCAGAAACAUUGUUACUUUGCCUAUGUAUCUAUUUGACAUAUUCUCUUAAGGAAGAGCUACUUAUAUCAAGGCUCCAUCUUUCUGAGUUGCAGGGCAAAAGUCCGUUCUCCAUGCAAAACUACCCAUUUCCACUAAAGCACACUAGCUUUCGCCAUCCCAUCCGCGAAAAAACCUGAAAUGAUACACCAGAAACUCCCUCAAGACAGACAGAGCCAAGUCACUUUCUCGCUAAUCCCCAUUGAACCCUCCAAUUAAGCAAAGCCAUUUCAUAUUUCAACCCAAUGGCCACCACAAUUGCCGUACAAAAUUUACAAAUUAAAAUGCAAAAAGUAAUACAGAAAAAUACACAGCCCAAGCUCCAAUAGUAACAUAAACAUUCAUUUUAUAACAAUAAAGUUAAAGCCACGAAUAUUUUCAAAAAAAUUCAAUUAAGCCCUUGAAUGUUAAAAUUUCAAUCAAUUAAGCUCUUUGAUAGUUAAAGUUAACAGUUAAUUGUUAUAGUUAAAAUUUCAAUCAAUUAAGGUACGGUGUAGCGUUUGUUUACCCAUCGUUUAACCAUGUGGUUGAAGGUUCGAUCCCCACUUAUGGAAAUGAAGCACAUUUCAUAGUCAGUCAUUUACCUAUUUGGAGAGCACUUAUAGUGAGAAGAUUAACUACUGUUGUUGUUGGUGAAUUCCCUGAUUAUUACAAAUAAAAAAUAACAAUUGUCAUUUUUUUUGGAUUAUUUUUGCCACGUGCCAUGCUAAGAUUGUGCCACGUGGUAUAAAAUUAUAAAAAUCAUAUAAAAAUUAUACAAGAAUUAUAAAAAUGAAUAAAAUUAGAAAAAAUAUAUAAAAAAUCUAUUUUUAAAAGGUUAAUAAAUUUAAUAUUUUAUUAUUUUGAAAAGGAUAAUAAAUUUUUAAAAGGUUUUUUUAUUCUUAAAUUUUUAAGGGCUAUUUAAAUUUAAUUUCAAAAUAAAGCAUGCCUAAUAUAUAAAUAGACAUUUAAUUGGUGUCCAACAGGAAUGGCGUCACUCCUAUUUUUCAUCUAGUUUAAAAAUGAUAAUUAAUUCAUCAGGUGUCUGAACAUUUUUAUUUAUUCUUCAAUUCAAUGUCACAAAAAACAAUGACAACAUCCAAAAUAUUUUUUUUUUUUAAAAUGAGUCACCGACAUUUAUGGUUUAAAAUGAGUUUCAAAAUAAGUUAUUUUUAUAAAUAAUUAAAAGUUUUGGGUAUUUUUAAUAAAAAAAGCCUAAGUUUGAUGAAUGGCGUCAGCCAUUAUGUAGGUCUACUUAAUACGAAAACGACGGCUUGAUUUUGUUGGCCAAAAGGAAAGUACCUUUUGGGUUUUGCUUUGCCCAAAUGCUAGCAAAGUCUUUGCAUGCAUUUGUUUGAUUGGAAAAGUGAGAAAUAGAUGAACAUGGUAAGCACAAAUUCUAGACAUUACCAUAUCACCUAUAAAAUUUAGUUAUCUUUUUAAUUUCUUUUGGUGUAUUAUAAAAAAAAAAUUCUAAUAACACGACUUGAAUCAAAUCAUAUCUUAGUCAAGAGAUGGGGUUAUUUUAAUUUUUGUUUAUAAAAAAAAAAUCUUGUUCAUUGAGGGCCCUAGUAGGAGGUAUUGAAUAAUAACUAGAAGUCAAAUCCUGCACGCUUCCCAUUUCUGUGUAUUGAAUUGGCUGUAAUUUUCAAAGGACAUGAACCUUGAAGAGGGACAAGUGUAGUCUCUUGAUGAUAAAUGUGUUGACUGUCACCUUGCAAAACCCAGAUUACCAUAACAGAUGCAAAAUCUGAUCGGUGAAGAUAAGAAAAUGGAGACCAUGGGAAAUCUUCUAAUCCUGUUUACAGCUUCUUUAUGCCUCUAUCUUUUCGUUGCUUUGCUCAAUGUUUUCUACAAGUAUUGCUGGAUACCUCAACGGGUACAGUUCAUCAUGAAUUCACAAGGAAUCAGAGGACCUCCUUAUGAAUUUAUCCAUGGAAACAACAAAGAAGCUGCCCAAAUGCUCAUGGAAGCAUCUACCAAACCUAUGGCCUUGACACACGAUAUAUUUCCCAGAGUCAUGCCUCAUGUUUACUCCUGGAUCAACAAAUACGGUGAGAAUAUGUUUUUUUUAUCUUUUUUGGGUAGUAUUUUCUGAUUAACCUCCACUUUCCAUGAAGAGAAAUCAUUUUCUUUCAGGGAAGACUUAUCUUAGUUGGAAUGGAAUUCGAGCUCAACUGCUAAUUACAGACCCAGAUCUAGUCAAAGAGGUCCUUAAAAACAGUGACAAAGCUUUUCGAAAGCCAAAGGCUUCAUAUUUCUUCGACAAGCUACUAGGCGAUGGGCUUGCUUCAACCGAACGUGAGAAAUGGGCAAGGCAAAGGAAACUGGCCAAUUAUGCCUUUCAUGGGGAGAGCUUAAAAGUAAAUCAUCUCUACCUUCUAAUCUAAUUAUUGUAGUGCGACAUUUACAAACUUGAUCAUUUUUUGCAGAAUAUGACUCCAGCAGUAGUUGCUAGCGUUGAAACCAUGCUUGAGAAAUGGAAAAGUAAGGAGGGCAAAGAGAUAGAAGUGUUCCAAGAGUUCAGAUUAUUGACUUCAGAAGUGAUAUCCAGAACCGCCUUUGGUAGCAGUUACUUGGAAGGGGAGAAGAUUUUUGACAUGCUGAUGAAGUUGUCAGUAAUUGCAGGCAGAAAUAUUUUUAAAGCAAAGAUUCCCAUCAUCAGGUAACUUCAUCAAAUCUUUACUUUGUUAAUCAACAUACUUCAGCUUACAAUGGGUUGAUUUAAUCUGGUUGUCCUUUUCAGCAAGUUUUGGAAAUCUGCUGAUGAAAUUGAAUCAGAAAGAAUUGCCAAAAUGAUACAUGAUUCUGUGAUGAGGAUUGUUAAAAAAAGGGAAGAGAGAGUAGUGAACGGAGAAGCUGAUAACUUCGGUCGUGAUUUUCUGGGAUUACUCGUAGAUGCUUAUCAUGAGGCGGACCAGGAAAACAGGCUUUCGAUUCAAGAUAUGGUAGAUGAGUGUAAAACUUUUUAUUUUGCUGGGCAAGAAACAGUCAAUUCCUUGCUUGCAUGGGCAACUCUGCUUUUAGCAAUACACACCGAUUGGCAAGACAAAGCAAGAGCAGAGGUGAUUGAGGUCUUUGGUAAUCAAAACCCAGAUUCUGAAGGGAUGGCUAAAUUAAAGACGGUAAGCAAACUAUACAAAUUCAAUAGCUUGAAAACUAGCACUGACCAUUCAUAUUGCCUUUUGGAUUUUUUUUUCUCCGAUAGAUUACCAUGAUUAUCAAUGAAACUUUACGGCUCUAUCCUCCUAUAAGUGGCGUGAUAAGAGAAGUAGGAAGAGAAGUCCAAUUAGGAAAACUUGUCCUGCCUACUCAUUCAGAGGUCGACAUGCGAAUCAUAGCGCUUCACCAUGACCCUGACUUAUGGGGAGAUGAUGUUAAUCUUUUCAAACCAGAGAGGUUUGCUGAUGGGAUAGCGAAAGCUACUAAGUACAAUGCAGCUGCAUUUAUGCCUUUUGGAUUGGGAUCUCGAUCUUGCGUUGGCAUGAGCUUUGCAAUCACCGAAGCGAAAACUGCACUUUCCAUGAUUCUGCAACGCUACACUGUGACCGUCUCCGCUAACUAUGUUCACGCUCCUGUACUACGUCUUACACUCAAGCCGCAACAUGGGAUGCAGUUGUUGUUUCAUUCACUACAUUAGGAUGCUUAAAAUUCUAGGCUGUUGGUCUCCAAUAUAGUAAUAUAUAAUAAAAUGUGGAUGAUACUGUAUUUUGCAACCAUACUAUGAUAUAUGGUUUGGGGAUUUCAUGUUUUGGCAACAGGAUUAUAUGCUUUUUUUUUGUUGUUGAUAUUGUUAAAGGUUAAAAGGGUAUUACAGCAAACAUCGCCACCGCAGGAGCAGGCCCUACAGUCCUGUGAAUAACAUAAUUUGGUGUCUUUCUUCCAUUACUACUGCAGUAGUGAAGUUUUUAUUCCACUUGGUUCCCUUCUUCCAGAGUUUCUGCUUGAAACACUCACUCCUGGAGCCGGCCAUUACAUUACUUGUUUAGCUCUCAUGGAGGGCUCCAAGCUCAUUAGACCAGAAACAUUGUUCCUUUGCCUAUGUAUCUUUUUGACAUAUUCUCUUAAGGAAGAGCUACUUAUAUCAAGGCUCCAUCUUUCUGAGUUGCAGGGCAAAAGUCCGUUCUCCAUGAAAAACUACCCAUUUCCACUAAAGCACACUAGCUUUCGCCAUCCCAUCCGCCAAAAAACCUGAAAUGAUACACCAGAAACUCCCUCAAGACAGACAGAGCCAAGUCACUUUCUCGCUGAUCCCCAUUGAACCCUCCAAUUAAGCAAAGCCAUUUCAUAUUUCAAGCCAAUGGCCACCACAAUUGCCGUACAAAAUUUAGAAAUUAAAAUGCAAAAAGUAAUACAAAAAAAUACACAGCCCAAGCUCCAAAAUGCAAGAAAGUACAUUUAAAAUAUGAGCCAAAUUUAGAUUUCAAUUUAAAAAUUUGAAUUUAAUUCGUUUUUAAAUUUGUAAUAUAGUAUAUUCAUUAUAAGAAAAAUAUGAAUUGUCAACCUUUAAAUUUAUUGUUAAAUGUUGUACUACCAUUAAAAAAAUUUUAUUGUAACAGCAAAAAAAUCGUUGUGAGGUCAUUGUGUAUACCUCCAUUGUAUAAAAUAUGCACAACGAUUUUACAAAUUGAAAAAUCGUUUUAAUUAUAUACAUCGCAACAACUUUUUUCGUUUUAAAAUAUAUAUUUUUUGUAACAACUUAAUUUAUUUGUCUAAAAAUGUUUUAGUUAUAAUAAAAUUUGUUAUAAUAUUUUUAACACAACCAUAAUACUUUAGUUACAAAAAACUAUUAUGUAACAAUAAUAUAUUGGUUGUAAUAUAAAAUUUGCAACAACUGUAAAUUAAAAUGCUAAGUUUUGUACGUAACAAUAAUAAUACUGAUAUGUCAUUGUAUUACAUUACUCAAUGAUUAUAUGUCAUUGCCAAAAAAAUAUUUUAAUAACCAUAAAAUGUGGUUGCCAAAUCAUUUACUUAAGAAUAAUACUACUGAUUACUAAAUAUUAUUCUGCAACUAUUUUAAUUUGUUGUGUACUACAUUGCGCAACAACAAUGUUAUUUUUAAUCAAAUGGCUAUAUAUAAUUUAAUAAAAUUAAAAAAAAAGUUUCUUCAUCCUCUAACUUAAUAAAAUAAAAUAAAAAAUUCAUGUUAGAUUGAAUUGAUCUUGAGGUUAUAUAUAGUCAUUGGCCAUGUCAAAGAGAAUAGCUCUACCAAAAUAAAAAAUUUAUUUUUUAUUAAAAAAUUUUUUUAAAAAAAAUUAAUUGCAGCAUAGUAACCGUCAUUCUCUAUGACUCUAUCAAAUAAAAUAAUAAUUUUAAUUUCAAAUUAAAAAUAAAAAUCACUUUAAAAAAUUUGACAUAAUAAAAGUGGUGUGACCAAUUUAUUUGGCUCCUGAAAUAUUAUUAUUUAUUUUCUAGUUCCCAAAAUAUUUAAAAAUAUUGGUGUCAGAGUGGUAUUUAUACGGGUGAAGCCAAAUAAAUUAACUUUACCUACAAAAAUUAAUUUUUGUUAUAAAAUAAAGAGAUGGAGAGAAUGAAGAACAAAUAAAAUAUGAAAGCAAUAGAGAAUGUACUUUAUUGAUCAAAGGGAUGAUUACAAUGUUUCAUCAGAGUCUCUAUUUAUAGGCAUAAGAAGUAUAAAAGAAGUAGAGAUCUAAUUCUAAUAACUAUUAGAAUUUAAAGUAUAUCAAAACUUUAUCUUGAUCAUGAUGGACAUCCACUAAAUAAGAUAUUUAUAACACUCCCCCUUAGAUGUCCAUUGGUGGAUAAUUUGCCUCGUUAAAACUUUAUUAGGAAAAAUCUUGUGGGAUAAAAACCCAAUGAAGGAAAAAGAGUACACAAUCUUCUAUUACAAGUUGUCUCAUUAAAAAUCUUUACGAGGAAAACCCAAUGGGACAAUACAUUGGUUAAAGGAAAGGAGUACAACUUAUUUUAGACUCCCCCUAAUGGCAACAUUACAUUACAUCUUUGAGUUGACGCAUUCUAAUCUUGUGUAGUAGUCUUUGAAAUGUUGAAGUUGGCAAUGCCUUAGUAAAAACAUAUGCUAAAUUAUCACUAGAAUGAAUUUGUUGAACAUUUAUAUCACCUCUUUUCUCAAGAUCAUGGGUGAAGAAUAAUUUUGGCGAAAUAUGUUUCGUUCUAUCACCUUUGAUGUAACCACUCUUCAAUUGAGCCAUACAUGUUGCAUUAUCUUCAUAUAAGAUAGUUGGCAUCUUUUCCUAUAAAGGCAAAUUACAUAUCUUCUGGAUAUGUUGGGUCAAUAACCUUAGUCAAACACACUCUCGACUUGCCUCAUUCAUUGCAAUUAUUUCUAAAUGAUUUGAAGAAGCAACAGCUAAUGUUUGCUUUGUCAAACGUCAUGAUAUGGUAGUAGUCUUUGAAAUGUUGAAGUUGGCAAUGCCUUAGUAAAAACAUAUGCUAAAUUAUCACUAGAAUGAAUUUGUUGAACAUUUAUAUCACCUCUUUUCUCAAGAUCAUGGGUGAAGAAUAAUUUUGGCGAAAUAUGUUUCGUUCUAUCACCUUUGAUGUAACCACUCUUCAAUUGAGCUAUACAUGUUGCAUUAUCUUCAUAUAAGAUAGUUGGCAUCUUUUCCUAUAAAGGCAAAUUACAUAUCUUCUGGAUAUGUUGGGUCAAUAACCUUAGUCAAACACACUCUCGACUUGCCUCAUUCAUUGCAAUUAUUUCUAAAUGAUUUGAAGAAGCAACAGCUAAUGUUUGCUUUGUAUCUACAUAUAAAUACUAUUGUGACAUUUACUACUGGAAAUGUCUAAAUCUAUGUGAAGUCUAUAAUGCCACUAAGUCAAUAAAUAAAUAUAAUUUUCAAAUAAUUAUAUAUAAUAUUCGCUUUAGGGAAUAUGUUAAAAUCUUCAAAUAUAAGGCAUUUGGUCUAGUGGUAUGAUUCUAGCUUAGAGUGCGAGAGGUCCCGAGUUCGAUUCAAAAUAUAAAUAACUCAAUCCUCUUUUGAUUCAUAUCAAAUAUAAUCUUUUCCUCAUUCACAAUCUCAACAUGAGAUCCAUUAUGAAUAUAUUUUAAAACUAAUGCAUUAACCAUCACAAACUUUGUGCUUUUUAGAUAUUGAUAUAUUAGCUCUUCUAGAGCUUUUAACUAACUUUUUACUAUCAAAUAUUGGAAUAUAUUUGUUUAUUUCAGUACCAAAUAAGAUAAAUAUUUUCUAUUUGUAAUAAUAAAUUUUAUUACUACAUUCUCAUAUCCUUCCUUAAAGGAUAUUAUCAGAGACAAAAUAUUUGGGCAUACACCACAUAUGUGACCAGUAAUCUUUCAUAUCACAUUGGUAAUAUAAGUUAUAUUUACCCUUUGAAAAGUUAUCUUGAGAACUCUCAUUGUUCUCUUAUUUAUUACUAUGUUCCCACUUUUAGUGGUUCAUGAGUAUAUCUUUUAUUUUCUUUAUGUUUACAUUCACUUCGGGGAAUGCAACAAAUCUAGUAGGAUGGACUUAUAAACAUCCCAAUAGAUUCUUUAUUUCAUAAUCACCAUCGCAAACAUGUGUGAGAUUUCAAAUCAAAAUUUAUCUAUUCAUAUUGUCAUGAUUAGUCUCUAAUUAUAAUAAACAUGAUAUAAUAAAUAAAACAUAAUAAAAUAUACCUGAAGAUCUUUAACAUCGUCAUCAUAUUGACUAUUAUCACGAGCACUAUUACAAGUAGUAAAACAACUUUAUUUUCGUAAUAACAUUCACAAUCUAAUAGUAAAAAUCAUUUAAUAAAUAAUUAAAAUUUUCAUGUACGAUGCUUGAAAAUUAUCUGAUACACAUUGUAUCAAAUUUCGAUACCACAUAUAUGUUAUAAAAUCUUAUCUUGCUCUAAUAAAAUAUUUAUAAGUUCAAUUUAAAAAAUAUCAUACAAUUAUUCAAUAUUAGAAAGUUAAUAAGACUAAAUAGAUCCUAUCAAAUUUCCUUUCACUCAACAAUGGUAGCUUAAUAAGACUUUCCACCAUAAUUUUAAUAAAAUUUCAAGAAUAAAUAACAAGAAAAAAAAUUUAAACACAAAAAUAUUAUGCAUAAUAUAAUUUAAUUAAAAAAUAGAAAAAAUAACAUACCAUAUUAAUAGCAAACAUAUCUAAUCAAUAAUUAUGUCUUUUAAAUAAUAAAACUUUACCCCAAAAAGCCAAAAAUCAAAUACUAUCAGAAUGUGAAAUUUAUGUCAAAUAAAAAUUAAUAGUAGUUAUACCUUAAUCGAAAAAGAAAAUAUGGUCGAAAUAUAAAAGUUUCUUACCAAAUCUACACUUUACCCAUACUUGUACAAUAAACCAAAGAUCGAGAAUAAGAAUCACAAUCCAUUCUGAGAUUGAAUCUUUCAACAUCAUGAAGAUGAAGUUGUAAGGGAGAAAGUUUAAGGUGAAAAAGAAUUUGAUUUAUGGGACAACUUCGAAAGAUUUUGAAAAAAAUAGAAAAUAAUCGUGCUGAUAACGUGGUAUAAAAUAAAGAGAGAUGGAGAGAAUAAAGAAAACAUGAAAGCAAUAAAAAAUGUAUUUUAUUGAUCAAAGAGAUUAUUACGAUGUUUUAUCAUAGUCUAUUUAUAAGCAUAAGAAAUAUAAAAAAAGUAAAGAUCUAAUUCUAAUAACUAUUAAAAUUUAAAAUAUAAAACGACGUUGUUCUGAUAAAUAUUUAGAUUUUCUAGAGUUGAAGCCAAAAACCAUUAAGUUAAAAAACAAAACAAUUAUAUUGUUUUUGUAGUUAUAAUCUUGUAUUUCCUCUACUAGUUAAAUAAUCAGUCCAUAUAAAUGUAACAUUGAGUAUAAAUAAUAGGAUUUGUUAACUCGAAUGGACUUGACUCGAAAUUUUUUAACACCAUUCGAUUUGAAAAAUUUUCAAAUUGAGUUCGAUUGCUAAAAUAGAAUUCAUUAAUUCGACUAACUCGAAUUUUUUUUACUCGAUCGAAUAAUCACCCCUAUUUCUAAACUAUAACAGUUAAUGGAAACUCGUUAAGUCAUAAAAAAUUCAAGUAAAUGUUUUAAACUUGAGUUUUAUGAAUACAAAAAAUAAUUUUAAAAGCUAUUUUAAAAUAUAAAAUUUAUUUGGUAUAAAUUAAAAUUAAAUACAAAAUAUAAUUAGAUUGUUUGAUAAAAUAUAAUUUUGUAAAAAUUUAAAGGUGGGGUAUUUGAAGAAUUUAAAAGAGAUGAAAUAAAAAUAAUUGAAACAAAUUCUACAUUAAGAUAUAAAUAGUUAUUUAUCUACUUUUCAUUUUCCACAUCUUUUCUUAGAAAAAUCCAAUCAUUUGUUUUUUUUAUUAUGAAUCAUCAAACUUGCUUAAAAACAUAAAUUAUUAGUUGAUUUAAUUAUUUUUAAUUGAUUAUCAAACAAGCCCUUGUUUCAAGUGCCAUUUAUGUCAAAAAAGUUUUAAGUAAUAGUACCAUAAACAUUCAUUUUAUAACAAUAAAGUUAAAGCCACGAAUAUUUUUUAAAAAAAUUCAAUUAAGCCCUUGAAUGUUAAAAUUUCAAUCAAUUAAACUCUUUGAUAGUUAAAGUUAACAGUUAAUUGUUUUAAUCAAUUAAGGCAUGGUGUAGUGUUUGUUUACCUCAUUCUUUAACAAUGUGGUUGAGGGUUCGAUCCCCACUUAUGGGAAUGAAGCACAUUUCAUGGUCAAUCAUUUACCUAUUUGGAGAGCACUCAUAGUGAGAAGAUUAACUACUGUUAUAGUUGGUGGAUACCCUGAUUAUGACAAAUAAAAAAUAACAACUACCAUUUUUUUUGGAUUAUUUUUGUCAAGUGGUGAAAAAUAUUUUAAUUUUUAUUAAAAAUCAUAUAAAAAGUAUAAAAAUUAUACAAGAAUUAUAAAAAUGCAUAAAUUAGAAAAAAUAUAUAAAAAAAUCUAUUGUGAAAACAUAAAAUUAUAAAAAUAUAAUUGCUCCCCCAAAUUCCAUGUUUCCUCUAACUCGUCUAACUGGAUUCUCCCUUAGAAUCAACUUAUUUGGAUUGUGAAAAUCUCCAUCCGAUAUUGAGCAAUUUGCACAAAUGGUUGGUAACAUUUUAUAAAAUUAUUUUUUUGUAAAAAAAAAGUGCAAAGAAAACCCAAUUAUAUGGAAUUGGUUUAUUUUCUAUGCAUGUGGAUCACCAAUUGAACAAGCAUAGACGACAAGGUGGACUCGUGAAAAGAAAACAUUUGUUGCAUCAUUGUUGUUUCCAUAUUCUCGCCUACCCAAAGCAGAAAUAAAGGGUGAAUUUGGCAUAUUAGCACCAUUUCUACCUCCUUUCUCCCUCUAUAUAAACCUCUUCCCACCCAAGCUGCCAUUGCCAAAACCCAUCAACUUCACCUCUAUUCUUCUUACUUGAGACCUAUAUUUAGUCUUGAAAUUUAACUGUGAAAAUGGGUUUCGCAUUUGCAUAUCGACUUAUCUUAGUCGUGGCAGUUGCUUCCGUGUUGGGAAUAAGCCUGGCAAAUAAAGACUGGGGCUCCCCUAAUUCCAACUACACUGGUUGGGGCUGGGGCUCCUCGAAGUCUAACCACACUGGUCAAGGCUUUAAUAACCAUCCCGUGAAUGAAACUCAAGGACCCAAAAAGAUAAUUGUUGGUGGAUCAAAAAACUGGCAUUUCGGCUUCAACUACUCCGAUUGGGCAUUCAACAAUGCACCAUUUUACUUCAACGAUACUCUAGGUGAGUCCAUAAUAUUACAUUUUACAAACCAAAGAAAUGGGAAGCUUCGAAAGAUUUUGAAAAAAAUAGAAAAUCAUCGUGUUGAUAACGUGUUAUAAAAUAAAGAGAGAUUGAGAGAAUAAAAAAUAAAGAAAACAUGAAAACAAUAAAAAAUAUACUUUAUUGAUCAAAGAGAUUAUUACAAUGUUUUAUCAUAUUUUAUUUAUAAGCAUAAGAAGUAUAAAAAAGAUUGAGAUCUAAUUCUAAUAACUAUUAAAAUUUAAAAUACAUAAAAGUUUUAUCUUAAGCAUGAUCAACAUCCACUUAACUUAAUAAGAUAUUUAUAAUAAUUUUUAAUUUCUAUAGGCGAAUUAUUAAGUAACGGGACAAGUAGAUGGCGAAAUUAAUAAAAAAAAUUCUGAAUUAUUUUUGUAAAAAAGCGGCAAAACCCAUAUUACCAUAACAGAUGCAAAAUCUGAUCGGUGAAGUUAAGAAAAUGGAGACCAUGGGAAAUCUUCUAAUCCUUUUUCCAGCUUCUUUAUGCCUCUUCCUUUUCGUUGCUUUGCUCAAUGUUUUCUACAAGUAUUGGUGGAUACCUCAUCGUUUACAGUUCAUCAUGAAUUCACAAGGAAUCAGAGGACCUCCUUAUGAAUUUAUCCAUGGAAACAACAAAGAAGCUGCCCAAAUGCUCAUGGAAGCAUCUACCAAACCUAUGGCCUUGACACAAGAUAUAUUUCCCGAGUCAUGCCUCAUGUUUACUCCUGGAUCAACAAAUACGGUGAGAAUAUGUUUUUUUUUUUCUCUUUUUAGGGUUGCAUUUUCUGAUUAACCUCCACUUUUCAAGAAAAGAAAUCAUUUUCUUUCAGGGAGGACUUAUCUUAGCUGGAAUGGAAUUCGAGCUCUACUGCUAAUUACAGACCCAGAUCUGGUGAACGAGGUCCUUAAAAACAGUGAAAAGGCUUUUCCAAAGCCGAAGGCUUCAUAUUUCUUCGACAAGCUACUAGGCGGCGGUCUUGGUUCAACCGAAAGUGAGAAAUGGGCAAGGCUAAGGAAACUGGCCCAUUAUGCCUUUCAUGGGGAGAGCUUAAAAGUAAAUCAUCGCCACAUUCUACUCUAAUUAUUGUAGUGGAACAUCUACAAACUUGAUACUUUUUUGCAGAAUAUGAUUCCAGCAGUAGUUGCUAGCGUUGAAACCAUGCUUGAGAAAUGGAAAAGUAAGGAGGGCAAAGAGAUAGAAGUGUUCCAAGAGUUCAGAUUAUUGACUUCAGAAGUGAUAUCCAGAACCGCCUUUGGUAGCAGUUACUUGGAAGGGGAGAAGAUUUUUGACAUGUUGAUGAAGUUGACAGUAAUUGCAGGCAGAAAUAUUUAUAAAGCAGAGAUUCUCAUCAUCAGGUAACUUCAUCAAAUCUUUACUUUGUUAAUCAGCAUACUUCAGCUGCCAAUGGGUUGAUUUAAUCUGGUUUUCCUUUUCAGCAAGUUUUGGAAAUCUGCUGAUGAAAUUGCCAAAAUGAUACAUGAUUCUGUGAUGAAGAUUGUUAAAAAAAGGGAAGCCAAAGUAGUGACCGGAGAAACUGAUAACUUCGGUCGUGAUUUUCUGGGAUUACUGCUUAUCAUGAGGCGGACGAGAAAAAUAGGCUUUCGAUACAAGAUUUGGUAGAUGAGUGUAAAACUUUCUAUUUUUCUGGGCAAGAAACAGUCAAUUCCUUGCUUGCAUGGGCAACCCUGCUUUUAGCAAUACACACCGAUUGGCAAGAUAAAGCAAGAGCAGAGGUGAUUGAGGUCUUUGGUAAUCAAAACCCAGAUUCUGAAGGGAUGGCCAAAUUAAAGACGGUAAGCAAACUAUACAAAUUCAAUAGCUUGAAAACUAACAGUGAACAUUUAUAUUGCCCUUUGGAUUUCUUUUUCUCCAGCAGAUUACCAUGAUUAUCAAUGAAACUUUACGGCUCUAUCCUCCUAUAAGUGGCAUGAUAAGAAAAGUAGGAAGAGAAGUCCGAUUAGGAACACUUGUCCUGCCUACUCAUUCACGGGUCGACAUGCGAAUCAUAGCACUUCACCAUGAUCCUGACUUAUGGGGAGAUGAUGUUGAUCUUUUCAAACCAGAGAGGUUUGCUGAGGGAUAGCCGAAGCUACUAAGUACAAUGCAGCUGCAUUUAUGCCCUUUGGAUUGGGACCUCGAUGUUGCGUAGGCAUGAGCUUUACAAUCAUUCAAGCGAAAAUUGCACUUUCCAUGAUUCUGCAACGCUACACUAUCAACCUCUCCCCUAGCUAUGUUCAUGCACCUUUACAACGUCUUACACUCAGGCCACAACAUGGGAUGCAGUUGUUGUUUCAUUCACUACGUUAUGAUGCUUAAAAUUCUAGGCUGUUGGUCUCCAAUAUAGUAAUAUAUAAUAAAAUGUGGAUAAUACUGUAUUUUGCAACCAUAUGAUGAUAUAUGGUUUUGGGAUUUCAUGUUUUGUUGAUAUUGUUAAAGGUUAAAAAGGUAUUACAGCAAA